rnacentral:rRNA from 1 species
CAUGAGUUUGAUCCUGGCUCAGGAUGAACGCUGGCGGCGUGCCUAAUACAUGCAAGUCGAGCGAAUGGAUUAAGAGCUUGCUCUUAUGAAGUUAGCGGCGGACGGGUGAGUAACACGUGGGUAACCUGCCCAUAAGACUGGGAUAACUCCGGGAAACCGGGGCUAAUACCAGAUAACAUUUUGAACUGCAUGGUUCGAAAUUGAAGGUCGGCUUCGGCUGUCACUUAUGGAUGGACCCGCGUCGCAUUAGCUAGUUGGUGAGGUAACGGCUCACCAAGGCAACGAUGCGUAGCCGACCUGAGA